AGAUCUCUCCCUUGUGGGGUCUUUCCUGUGAGCCUAGAUCUUUGGAGACAGAGCCAAACAGAUUUAAAAAGAAAACCAAAGAUGAAUCAUGUCUACGUGUAUUUCAGAACACAUGAUUAGCUGAAAAGAAAACAAAAACACCUAAAGAAGAUGAUGAUGCCUUAGCAGCUUCACAGAGUUGGGCAAAAACUUACCAGAGCUGCUUCCUAGAGAAUACUGUUAAGUUUGUAUUCUGUCCUGAGAACAUCUAUUUCUACAAAAGAAGGAUGAAAAAGUGAAACUGGACCACUGACUACUCAC